AUUUAUAUAGUUUAAUAAAACAUUGUAUUUUCAUUACAAAAAUGGGGUAAACCCUGUAAAUU
rnacentral:tRNA from 1 species